GACGAACGCUGGCGGCGUGCUUAACACAUGCAAGUCGAACGGAAAGGCCCUGCUUGCAGGGUACUCGAGUGGCGAACGGGUGAGUAACACGUGGGUGAUCUGCCCUGCACUUCGGGAUAAGCCUGGGAAACUGGGUCUAAUACCGGAUAUGACCUUCCAUGUAGUGUGGGGGGUGGAAAGAUUUAUCGGUGUGGGAUGAGCCCGCGGCCUAUCAGCUUGUUGGUGGGGUAAUGGCCUACCAAGGCGUCGACGGGUAGCCGGCCUGAGAGGGUGGACGGCCACAUUGGGACUGAGAUACGGCCCAGACUCCUACGGGAGGCAGCAGUGGGGAAUAUUGCACAAUGGGCGGAAGCCUGAUGCAGCGACGCUGCGUGGGGGAUGACGGCCUUCGGGUUGUAAACCUCUUUCGACAGGGACGAAGCUUCGGUGACGGUACCUGUAUAAGAAGCACCGGCUAACUACGUG
rnacentral:rRNA from 1 species